AGAGUUUGAUCCUGGCUCAGAUUGAACGCUGGCGGCAGGCCUAACACAUGCAAGUCGAACGGUAGCACAGAGGAGCUUGCUCCUUGGGUGACGAGUGGCGGACGGGUGAGUAAUGUCUGGGAAACUGCCCGAUGGCGGGGGAUAACUACUGGAAACGGUAGCUAAUACCGCAUAAUGUCUACGGACCAAAGCGGGGGACCUCCGGGCCUCGCGCCAUCAGAUGAACCCAUAUGGGAUUAGCUAGUAGGUGAGGUAACGGCUCACCUAGGCGACGAUCCCUAGCUGGUCUGAGAGGAUGACCAGCCACACUGGAACUGAGACACGGUCCAGACUCCUACGGGAGGCAGCAGUGGGGAAUAUUGCACAAUGGGCGCAAGCCUGAUGCAGCCAUGCCGCGUGUAUGAAGAAGGCCUUAGGGUUGUAAAGUACUUUCAGCGAGGAGGAAGGCGUUGUGGUUAAUAACCGCAGCGAUUGACGUUACUCGCAGAAGAAGCACCGGCUAACUCCGUGCCAGCCGCCGCGGUAAUUC
rnacentral:rRNA from 1 species